UACGUAGGGACCGAGCGUUGUCCGGAUUCAUUGGGCGUAAAGAGCUCGUAGGCGGCUGUUCAAGUCGAACGUGAAAACUCGGAGCUCAACUCCGAGCCUGCGUUCGAUACUGGACGGCUAGAGUCUGGUAGGGGGAUCUGGAAUUCCUGGUGUAGCGGUGGAAUGCGCAGAUAUCAGGAGGAACACCAAUGGCGAAGGCAGCUCGCUGGGACGGUACUGACGCUGAGACGCGAAAGCGUGGGGAGCAACAGGAUAGAAAC
rnacentral:rRNA from 1 species